rnacentral:rRNA from 1 species
UUGAUCCUGGCUCAGGACGAACGCUGGCGGCGUGGUUAGACAUGCAAGUCGAACGAGAAGCUCCCUUCGGGGAGUGGAGAGUGGCGCACGGGUGAGUAACACGUGAGCAACCUGCCGGNGAAGCCNCGGGAUAGCCCUCCNGAAAGGAGGAUUAAUACCGGAUGUGGCCACCCUGCGAUUGCAGGGGAAGCUAAAGGAUUAUUCACUUCCCGAGGGGCUCGCGGCCCAUCAGCUUGUUGGUGAGGGUAACGGCCCACCAAGGCGACAACGGGUAGCUGGUCUGAGAGGAUGGUCAGCCACACUGGAACUGAGACACGGUCCAGACACCUACGGGUGGCAGCAGUCGAGAAUCAUUCGCAAUGGGGGAAACCCUGACGAUGCGACGCCGCGUGGAGGAUGAAGGCCUUAGGGUUGUAAACUCCUGUCAAGAGGGAAUAAGCAAGUGAAGGUACCUCUAGAGGAAGGGGCGGCUAAUUCCGUGCCAGCAGCCGCGGUAACACGGAAGCCCCGAGCGUUGUUCGGAUUCAUUGGGCGUAAAGGGUGCGUAGGCGGCGCGGAAAGUCCGGCGUGAAAGGCAGAGGCUCAACCUCUGGACUGCGUUGGAUACUUCCGUCCUUGAGGACUGGAGGGGAGACUGGAAUUCACGGUGUAGCAGUGAAAUGCGUAGAUAUCGUGAGGAAGACCGGUGGCGAAGGCGAGUCUCUGGACAGAUCCUGACGCUGAGGCACGAAGGCUGGGGGAGCGAACAGGAUUAGAUACCCUGGUAGUCCCAGCAGUAAACGAUGUGAGCUUGAUGUGGGGGGAUUCGACCCCUUCCGUGUCGAAGCUAACGCGAUAAGCUCACUGCC